AUGUUUACGGGUGUACGGCGGAGAGGCGGAGCAUCUCGGAACCGGGACGAGAAGUGGAAGCUCCAGCAGGACUGGGAGAAUGACCCUGACGCAUUCUCGGGGGAGGAGCUUCAACGGCGGCCGGAAGUAAGGAUGAUCAAGUAUGCACUCGUCAUGGCGUACGUCCGAUUUGGCGUGAGAGCCCUGGGGGCCCUAACGCUUUUGUGGGUCACCAUGGUCCUCCUCGGCGGCUUCGUCUCGUCGCUGAGGAAGAUCGAUUUUUGGUGUCUGACCAUGAUCGCAUUCGUGCACGCUGCCGGGUUAGUGCUUACAGAAUUCAACUCUCUCAGUCUUGUAUGCACAUUUUUUUUCUUGUAA
rnacentral:rRNA from 1 species